AUAGUUACCUGACAGGGGGAGAUAUUACGAUCAGAACGGUGGUUUUCCCAGGGUGAGGCUCACUGAUUGCAUGCAGAGCGGGUUGACCUCUGUAAUGUCCACAAAUAUGGGAUACUCAGCUGCAUAAUUUAUGGUAGUGUGGGACUGCAUUUGCACUUCCCCU